rnacentral:rRNA from 1 species
UACGGAGGGUGCAAGCGUUGUCCGGAUUUAUUGGGUUUAAAGGGUGCGUAGGCGGCUAAUUAAGUCAGUGGUGAAAUACAGCAGCUCAACUGUUGAGGUGCCAUUGAUACUGAAUAGCUUGAGUACAGAUGAGGUAGGCGGAAUUUAUGGUGUAGCGGUGAAAUGCAUAGAUACCAUAAAGAACACCGAUUGCGAAGGCAGCUUACUAAGCUGUAACUGACGCUGAGGCACGAAAGCCGUGGGGAGCGAACAGG